GGCUCCAUAGUGUAGUGGUUAGCAUGUCUGCUUUACACGCAGAAGGUCCUGGGUUCGUGCCCCAGGUGGAGCCG
rnacentral:tRNA from 1 species